rnacentral:rRNA from 1 species
CUACGGGUUGCAGCAGUAGGGAAUUUUGUGCAAUGGGCGAAAGCCUGACGCAGCAACGCCGCGUGAACGAUUAAGCUUUUCGGAGUGUAAAGUUCUGUCAGUGGGGACGAAACUUGACGGUACCCACAGAGGAAGCACCGGCUAACUCCGUGCCAGCAGCCGCGGUAAUACGGGGGGUGCAAGCGUUGUCCGGAAUCAUUGGGCGUAAAGAGUUCGUAGGUGGUAUGUUAAGUCUGGUGUUAAAGCCCGAAGCUCAACUUCGGUUCGGCACUGGAUACUGGCAAACUUGAAUGUGGUAGAGGUAAAGGGAAUUCCUGGUGUAGCGGCGAAAUGCGUAGAUAUCAGGAGGAACAUCGGUGGCGAAAGCGCUUUACUGGGCCAUAAUUGACACUGAGGAACGAAAGCCGGGGUAGCAAAUGGGAUUAGAUACCCUGGUAGUC